CUGCUGGGGGAAUCCAGGGAAAAAAACAGAUUUAUGAAUAGAAAACAUUAAUUUUAACUCUUUCAAAUGCGUGAAUCCCAUAAUGUGUAACGAUUGUUUUAAUGUCUAAACGCAUCAAAUCAUAAGGAUAUGUUUUUUAUAAUGCAUGAUGUAAGAUUGUAGAAAUAACAUUAUUGAUUUCGUAUGGCGAGAUACUGAAUCACGCAUAUUAAAAUGCUGUAAUUUUAUAGACGGCUUCAUGCAAUUCUGUGACUACGCUUAAACUUGCAUAUCAGUGCAACAGAGAUCAUUUUUAGAUUAAUGCACGGUUUGGAGUGGCAAUAAAGCAAGCGCUUUCAUCCACUUACACUGAUUUAAACUGUUAUUGUGUUAUUUCAGUACAUUCGACUUAAAAGUAAUAUUUUGGCGCGAUAUUGCUAUUAUUAUUAACCAAUGCAGCCUUUAGGUUGCUUAUGUAGAGAAUGCCCACAAGCCGCGGAUAAAUCCUGUUACGAGUUUAGACUGUAGUUGAUAUUCUCUUACCUUCGGAACAAAAUGGAUGCUGCGUGGAGCAAUUUUCUCUUCCAGACCACACCUACUCAAACCCAAGUGGAGAGCACCCUCCAAUCAGAGCUUCUGCCUGUCCACACAAGCUCACCCCAGAGCCCGCCCGCCGAACACAUAGCCCCGCCUCCAUCGACAGUGGACACUGCUGCACUUAGCGAGGACCCUCUACCUGUGAAGCCAGCGCCUCGGCAGGGCCGUGUGGCUCACAUCUGCUCCAUCUGCAGCAAGCAGUUCAAGAACAGCUACAACCUGCGGCGUCACCAGUCUGUCCACACGGGCAUUCGCAUGAAGGGUGGUGCCUCGCAGAACCGGGAGGCCAAAGACAUGGUGGAGAGACCUGCCGUGCCACUGUCGCUCCUCCAGCUGUCCAUGCCCCAGGUGCCAGGCAUGUCCCCCACGCCUGUGCUUGCUGCCCCCCUGCCGCAGUCCUCAGUCGCUCAGGACACAAACGUGUCAGUCAUGGCCAGUGUGGCCUCCACGGUCACGCCCCUUCCCCCACCCACGGCAGUCGUCAUGACAACAGGGGAGCCCAUCCAGCAGAGGCCGGUAAACCCCAACCCAAACCCAGUUCGGAAGAACCAUGCAUGCGAAACAUGCGGCAAAGCCUUCCGGGACGUUUACCACCUGAACCGGCACCGGCUCUCCCACUCGGAUGAGAAGCCCUUCUCUUGUCCCAUCUGUCAGCAGCGCUUCAAAAGGAAAGACCGCAUGAGCCACCAUGUGCGCUCGCACCAGGGUGGCGUAGAGAAGCCCUACGUGUGUCCCCACUGCUCCAAGGCCUUCUCUCGUCCUGACCAUCUCAACAGCCAUGUCAGACAAGUUCAUUCUUCAGAAAGACCUUUCAAAUGCCCGACAUGCGAGUCAUGUUUUGCCACAAAAGACCGACUGCGUGCUCAUAUGAUCCGCCAUGAGGAGAAGGUGCCCUGUCACAUCUGUGGCAAACUACUGUCAGCCGCUUACAUCACCGAUCACAUGAGGGUGCACAACCAAUCACAACAUCAUGCCUGCCACUUGUGUAACCGAAGCUUCACUACGUUGACAUACCUGCGCAUCCAUGCGCAGAAGCACCACGGACAGGAGUGGAAAGAAAGCGGCGGCCUCGGCUCAGCCAGCAGUGGCGGCGCGCUCGUCUGCCAGCUCUGUGGCGUGCACUGCAAGACCCCCGCACAGCUGCAGGGCCACAUGGGUACCCACAACCCCCCAGCAAGUGAGCCACCCCCAGUGAGCCGUAGUGACGGGGCGGAGGGGGGCUUGGUACCCGCGCCCGCUGUGUUCGUCAGCGGCAGUGCUGUGGUGGACCUGCUGGUCACUGACUGCUCCUGCAUUGCCCAACAGCCACAGAGCUAGUAGUGCAGGCCUGUAACAGACACACACAGACACACACAUACAAUCGCAUGCACUCAGCUAGCCAUAGUACGUACAUUAGGUACAUACCUCUAAAAAACAUAGGACAUAUUUAUAAAAAUAUACUGUAUACUGUAACCCUCUCUCUUUCUCCUCCACACCACACUACUAGAUCUGAUACUGUGAAAAGCACUCUAAUACAGCUAGCUGAGCAGCUCAAACCCACUACACUACUAUUGUAGCAAAUAAAGUCACCUCAGUAUAACACAUUGCACGCAGAAUUGGCACGCAUCUGUCUUUGCACCUAAAGGACAUGCAGACCUUCAGUGUGUUGUCUCAGACAUGGCUGGGUGAGAUCGCCAACAUGCCAAGGACUCUGAUCUAAUGAUACUGUGAUUGUGACUUUCUACUGUAUCUCUUCCACUUCCCUUCCCAUUAUCUGCGUCAUGGGGGUCAUCUCAUGUGCCACGCCGCACCCUGCCACCAGCGCUCUCCUCCCAAGAGUCCAUCUUUUCUAGUUCCGCAUUCUUAACCACGAAGACGUGAAAGGGAAGGAAUGAAAAUGAGCUAGGAAGAGGUAAAAGAGGGGUGCAAAGAGGCAACAAAGGUGUGGAGAGGUUCAGCAAGCUAUAGAACAGUAAUAUCUCUUUUCCUACAGAAAUGGAGCACUUCAAACACACACUGUGUUAAAGGGAAUGCAUUCUGAGUGUGCUUUGGGAAGUUGUGUUUGUGCAUGAGAACUGAGGUGUGCAUAUGUGCUGUGUGCAGAAUGGAUAACUGUUUAGAGCAUUAGUAGUUCAGUCAAAUGUGUGGAAGAAACAAGAGUUGUAUUCAGGAUCAUUGUGCACCUUAACAUGGUCACUUGAUUUUUCUUUUUUUGUUUAUUUGUUUUGUUUUGUUUUGUUUUCAUCUUUAGUUGGUUUCCUAGCUGUUUUAAUUUGAUUCUUGACAGGUGGAAACUUGAUUUUAGUAAAAACAACUCUUGACUCAAUACAAUACAGCGCCACAUGUUCAUGAUUUUUCUGCAAAUUAAGAGAAUGCUACAGGAGGAUCUGGCUUCUCUUUUUCUCCUCUUUGCAAGUGGAAAAAGGCUCACACAGAAUGAGUGCAACUUGUUACUGCUUCCAAGAGGACUUGAUGAAAUGAUAAUUUUACUCAUGACUGUUUUUAUUGUUUUUGUGUCUGUUGUGAAUGUGUAAAUCAGGUGUUUGAAAGAAGGGCUUAGUCAAGUGAUAUUAAUCCUAAUACCCAGGAGUGAUCUUCUAGCCCCUCUGUUAAGUUUAAGUUAAGAUAGAUGGUGGUUGGCAGGUGGGGUGUCCUGGUUUUGUACUGGAAUGAUUUGUUUGAUCAGUUUAUUGUUGGUACUGUAUAUUAUUUGGUUAUUCACUAACUUAAUUUUCUGAUUGCUUCUACUUAGAAUGGUUGUUUUAAUUAGAUUUGAAUCAUACUUAGGUUAUUAUCUUUAAUUUAGCACUAAGCUGAAAUAAUACCUCUUCUGUAGGAAUCAGUACAGUUCUGGCACUGCAUCUCAAUGCCUUAUUGUACCAUUUUACCACCUUUUAAUUCGUAAAACUAAUGGUAUUUUAAAUCUUAGUCUUGGAACCAGUAAAAAUAUUAAUGGGAUGUAUUUAUAUUUAUAUUUUUAUAUUUCUCAACAGUAUGCAUGUCUAUUAGCAUUGUUAGAGGAAAAAAUGUUGAUGCUUACUAUGAUCAUAAAUAUUAUGUUAUUAUUUUGUAGAUUAUGUAGAUCAUAUUAUUUUGUAAUUUUGACUAUUAAAAGAAAGACAAGUAAUUGUAUUGCUUUUGAUGAUGUGUUGUAUCACAAAGACUUAUUUAUUUAUUUUCCCUAAUUAAUUGUUUUGGUUCGAGACUGUGUGUUUAGGUGUGGGCAAGAGAAACGUGUUUCUGUGAGGAUUUGACCGUCACCUCAACGCUGUAAAUCUCUUCCUUCCAAAUUUGACAGUAGCCUGUAUUAAAUAAAGCAGUCCUAAAAUCCUA